AGAGUUUGAUCCUGGCUCAGGAUGAACGCUGGCGGUAUGCCUAACACAUGCAAGUCGUACGAGAGUUUUUAACUCUAGUGGCGGACGGGUGAGUAACACGUGAGAAUUUGCCUUUAGGAGGGGGAUAACAAUUGGAAACGAAUGCUAAUACCCCAUAUGCUUUUGAGUGAAACGGAUUUAUCCGCCUAGAGAGAAGCUCGCGGCUGAUUAGCUUGUUGGUAAGGUAAGAGCUUACCAAGGCGACGAUCAGUAUCUGGUUUGAGAGGACGAUCAGACACACUGGAACUGAGACACGGUCCAGACUCCUACGGGAGGCAGCAGUGGGGAAUUUUCCGCAAUGGGCGAAAGCCUGACGGAGCAAUACCGCGUGAGGGAAGACUGCCUAUGGGUUGUAAACCUCUUUUUUCAGGGAGGAAUAAAUGACGUGUACCUGAAGAAUAAGCAUCGGCUAACUCCGUGCCAGCAGCCGCGGUAAGACGGAGGAUGCAAGUGUUAUCCGGAAUCACUGGGCGUAAAGCGUCUGUAGGUGGCCUAAUAAGUCAACUGUUAAAUCUUGAGGCUCAACUUCAAAAUCGCAGUCGAAACUAUUAGACUAGAGUAUAGUAGAGGUAAAGGGAAUUUCCAGUGGAGCGGUGAAAUGCGUAGAUAUUGGAAAGAACACCGAUGGCGAAAGCACUUUACUGGGCUAUUACUAACACUCAGAGACGAAAGCUAGGGUAGCAAAUGGGAUUAGAUACCCCAGUAGUCCUAGCCGUAAACAAUGGAUACUAGAUGUUGAACAGAUCGACCUGUGCAGUAUCAAAGCUAACGCGUUAAGUAUCCCGCCUGGGAAGUAUGCUCGCAAGAGUGAAACUCAAAGGAAUUGACGG
rnacentral:rRNA from 1 species